rnacentral:rRNA from 1 species
AAGCGCUUGCAACCAGACUUGCGUGUGGCGGUUCCCCCUUCCUUCUGGUUGGGUUACUCUGUCACGUCCAGGCCAACAUCGGUUUGGGUGGUCGGUUAAAGGCCUCGGGAAUGUAUCUACCUUUCGGGGUCGACUUAUAGCCCGGGGUGUCAUGCGGCCCACCUAGACCGAGGAACGCGCUUCGGCUCGGAUGUUGGCGUAAUGGUUGUAAGCGA